UACGGGAGGCAGCAGUGGGGAAUAUUGCACAAUGGGCGCAAGCCUGAUGCAGCCAUGCCGCGUGUAUGAAAAAGGCCUUCGGGUUGUAAAGUACUUUCAGUCGUGAGGAAGGUGUUAAGGUUAAUAACCUUAGCAAUUGACGUUAGCGACAGAAGAAGCACCGGCUAACUCCGUGCCAGCAGCCGCGGUAAUACGGAGGGUGCGAGCGUUAAUCGGAAUUACUGGGCUAAAGGGCACGCAGGCGGUUAAUUAAGUUGGAUGUGAAAUCCCCGGGCUUAACCUGGGAAUGGCAUUCAAGACUGGUUAGCUAGAGUCUUGUAGAGGGGGUUAGAAUUCCAUGUGUAGCGGUGAAAUGCGUAGAGAUGUGGAGGAAUACCGGUGGCGAAGGCGGCCCCUGGACAAAGACUGACGCUCAUGUGCGAAAGCGUGGGGAGCAAACAGGGAUUAGAUAC
rnacentral:rRNA from 1 species